rnacentral:rRNA from 1 species
CCGGCGCACGGGUGCGUAACGCGUAUGCAACCUACCAUCAACAGGGGGAUAACACUGAGAAAUUGGUACUAAUACCCCAUAAUAUCUCAUGCGGCAUCGCAUGGGGUUGAAAACUCCGGUGGGUUGAUGAUGGGCAUGCGUUGUAUUAGCUGGUUGGUGAGGUAACGGCUCACCAAGGCGACGAUACAUAGGGGGACUGAGAGGUUAACCCCCCACAUUGGUACUGAGACACGGACCAAACUCCUACGGAAGGCAGCAG